AGUGAACGCUGGCGGUAGGCCUAACACAUGCAAGUCGAACGGCAGCACAGGAGAGCUUGCUCUCUGGGUGGCGAGUGGCGGACGGGUGAGGAAUACAUCGGAAUCUACUUUUUCGUGGGGGAUAACGUAGGGAAGCUUACGCUAAUACCGCAUACGACCUACGGGUGAAAGCAGGGGAUCUUCGGACCUUGCGCGAUUGAAUGAGCCGAUGUCGGAUUAGCUAGUUGGCGGGGUAAAGGCCCACCAAGGCGACGAUCCGUAGCUGGUCUGAGAGGAUGAUCAGCCACACUGGAACUGAGACACGGUCCAGACUCCUACGGGAGGCAGCAGUGGGGAAUAUUGGACAAUGGGCGCAAGCCCGAUCCAGCCAUACCGCGUGGGUGAAGAAGGCCUUCGGGUUGUAAAGCCCUUUUGUUGGGAAGGAAAUCCAGCUGGUUAAUACCCGGUUGGGAUGACGGUACCCAAAGAAUAAGCACCGGCUAACUUCGUGCCAGCCGCCGCAGUAA
rnacentral:rRNA from 1 species